GUCCGAACUCCGAGGCGGAAGAAGGCGUAACUCAAAUUAUUUUUACUUUAGGUUUGCAGUGACAUGGACAAGGAAAGUUCACCAACGGCUGUUCAUUUACCACAUAAAGUAUGGCGCAAGCAAUGGAAAAAGAUGAGACGGAAGAAACUUCGACAAAUAUCAGCCAAAUUCCGAGAUGCAGCUGCGGAGCAAAAAGAACUGGAGCUUAUGAAGAGUCAUUCUUACCGGUCCUGGCUGUUGGAGCAAGAACAUUUAGGAGUCAUGCGGGAGGCUGAAGAACAGGAGGCUGCGCUGGUCAGACACCAAGCAUGGUUGGAAAGGGAAAAGCAAGCUAAACUUGAAUGGGAUCAAAGGAAGCUGAAAGAAAGCCAGCAAAAAGAGGCUCGCGAGAAGCAAGAGAAACAAAUUCAAGAGGAAUGGGAAGCUAUUAAAAAGGCUGAAGAAGCGGAAAAACAGAAAGAGGAAAUGGAGCAGCGUCAGAAAAAAGAGAAACAGGAAGCCCUGCUUCGUGAUGCUCUCUCAGAGCUGUGUCAGCCCUCUGUCCAGAACCCUCCCGUCCCGUCAGCUGAGGAGCGUACCGUGGAAUCUCGUCCCGGUCUGCAGCUGUGUCCAUUCUUCGAGAAGACUGGCUGCUGUCGCUUCGGGCCGCGGUGCUCCCGUAACCACAGACAUGUACUGCUGAGUCGCUGUCUGCUGCUGGAACACUUCUAUCAGCCGCUCGGCGUGCGGUAUACACUUGAUGACGAGCAGAAUCUGGAUGUCGGCCUCGAGUUCGAUGACGCGGAGAGGGCACGACAUUUCAACAACUUCUAUGACGAUGUGCUGCCUGAACUGCGAUCGCAUGGCGAGGUCGUUCAGUUCAAGGUUUGUCAGAACUACGAGCCUCAUCUGCGCGGAAACGUAUACGUACAGUAUGCUACGGAAAAUGAGGCAGCGCGAGCGUUUAAAAACUUAAACGGACGGUGGUACGGCGGAGAGCAGAUAUCUGUGCGGUUCGUUGACGUGCAGCGGUGGUCCCGAGCCAUAUGCGGCUCAUUCUUUCGGGGGAACUGCCCGAAAGGCAGAAACUGCAACUUCCUGCACGUGUUUAAGAAUCCGAACGGUGAGUUCAGGAGAGCUGACCGGGACCUGCCGACGUCAGCGGAGUCGACGCGGCAGAGGUCCUCGUCCCGGAGAGAGACGAAUGGCUGGAGCACAGAGAGGCGCGGCAGUGAGCGAAGCUCAGAGCGGCGCGGCCGUGAUCGGAGCUCAGAGCGGCGCAGCAGACGACCUUCGGAGGAUGCGAGGCGGCGCUCCGUGUCGACCAGCAGACGCACGCCUACCGAAAGGGAAAGAAAUAGGAGGGAAAGGAGCCCGGAUCGUAGGAGUUCUAGCAGGAGAUACCGAGCAUCGACUGAUUAUGAUUCGCCCAGAAACGAACAUCGGAGCACCGAAAGAACGCGCGGCAGCAGAAGCCGGAGGGACGACCGAUACUCUCGUGAGGAAGGUACCGGUAGUGAUCGCAGAAAGUCGCGGAGAAGUCAUAGCCCAGAGUCGAACGGACAUCAGGAUGACAGCGAAAGACAUACAACUCACCGAUCUCACGAACGCUCCCGGAGUUCUAAACGGCGCCGUUCUCGCAGUAACGAUCGUGAGCGGAAAAAGAGGAGUAAGAGGUCUCCGAGUUCGACGCACCGUCGCGAAUCGGGUAGCCAGACACGAGAAACGAAUUCUACCGAAGCUGGCGGGCCCAACAAGGCGGACCGCGAUUCAGACUGCCGCGGCGAAAUGGCAGAAUCUGAUUCUACAGCACUACGAAAAUCCCCGGAGGUGGCAUUGGCAUUGAGCCAGGAUGGUUAAAAGCGUAUUUGUAUCAUUCGUUGACGCUCUGAAGCACUUUCAAAAACUUUGUCAUCAUCAUGAACUCACAAGAACGCGCCUGUGAUUACACUCAUUGUUGAAUGAUCUCGCUACUUCGUUAUUGUUUGGGUGAGCUGACUGUGCCCUCAUGCUGUUGUGUUUGUAGAAGGCCAGUAUGUCUGUGUCUGUUAGCUACUCCAUCAUUUCACUGAACAUGUUGCGCACUGCCCCAAAUUUCCUGCGUGUUUCCUUGACUGAGAUGUCAGUAUUGCGAGCCUCUGCCGUGAAAUUUCGUCGAAAUCGCUGAGCUCGACAGCACUGCGAAGGCCGCCUGUUCCUGCUGUCCAGCCGACAAGCAGCGCCAGAGCUGCGUCCGCUAACGGCGGUGUCUCGGCAGACCAGACUCGUCUCCUCCGGCCGGUGACGGUGAGUGCCGUCCAGAUGUCACGGACAGAGACUGAACACGAGCCCGGCACUCUCAGCAGCCGCAGCGGUCCCCACGACACAGCGGAGCUCACCGUGACAUCUAGCGACUCAGCGGCCCCAUCCGUCCCCACGACACAGCGGAAUGCACCGUGACAUCUAGUGACCCAAUGGGGUAUACUGGGACAUGUAGUGACCCAGCGCUCGCACGGUGACAUCUAGUGGCCCAGCGGGCGCACUGCGGCACCACGGCAAAAUGUGUGUUUAUCGCGUAGACUAGGGGGCGCCCCGUGCCAUCCGGUGACCCAGCAGAGCGUACCGCAUCUUAGCGACCCAGUGGAAUGAGCGGCGGCAUCCCCGCCACACUAGACAUUGGCUGUGAUAUCAUGGAAUUAGGGGGAGUCAUUUGUGUCUCAGAGCUGAUGGUGUUAAACCAUCAGAGUUUGUAUUGUCAAAUGUGAGCAUAGUAAUACAUGAUCUUUUUUGUA